ACAGUUUUUUUUUUUUUAUCCAUUCCUCUGUUGAUGGCCACCUGGGCUGGUUCCAUAGUUGGGCUAUUGUAAAUUGUGCUGUUAUACACAUGGACAUGAAUGAAUCACUAUAGUAUAAUGACUUUAAUAGAAAAUAGUUUCCUUACUUCAGCAAUCAUGACCCUAACAUAUGCUGACAGAUACAUAUUUUAAUCCCCAAACUUGAAAUAUUUCCAUAGUUAUGUUAUUGCACUUUCUGCCAGCUUCCAUGGCUUUCUGUUUUUACGUAUGCUUUCCUAGUUUUUUUCUGCUCUUUAAAAUUAAACUCCCGAGAGUGUUUUCUUUUAUUACUUCCUUGAUCAAUACAAAAAACUGAAGAGUCAGAGAUAAAUGUACUCUCAGAAUUACAUAAACACUGUUAUAAUUUAGGAGAUGUUCUCUUCUGUUAUUUCAUCUAUUAUGUUAUUAUAUAUCAUCUAUCUCAUCUCUUUUCUCUCCAUGUUCUUUCGAAGCACUGUAAUUCUCUUAUCCAGUGUUCUUUGUGUGUAUAUUUGUCUGGAGAUCUCAUUAUGAUAACUGAUUUACAAAAAUUUAUGUGUUCUUUUUCAGUUUACAAAGUGAUUUUCACAAAUGUUACUUUAUUGGAUACUUGCAAUGACCUUUUAAAUUAGGGGAAACACAGGAAUGAUGCAGUUGGAAAAACCGAGUCAUUAAAGUCUUCGUCUUAAAAUUACCAUGCCAAAAAACCCUGCUCCAAACCUCCAACCAGAAAAACAUUCUUCUUCAUAGGGUUUUGGUUUUAACUUUGAUAAAUAUUGGUGAUUAGCUCUUUUUGAGUUUUCAGUUGCUCCUUGGCUUUGUCCACACCUUACUUCAAUCUUUCCAGUUGAUCUUGAUGUAACCAGGGUGCUCUGCAGUCUGAAAUAAAGAAAAUCUAUGUCCCAGAGCUCUUGGUCUAAUUGCACACCCUUCAGAGAUGAGCACCCUUGGAACAUGCAGUGACUCCUCCUGACAGUCAGUGAGUUGGUUUAGCUCAGACUUCUGUCAAACAACUUAGGUCCUCCUAUAAUUUCUUAGGAAUCCUAGCAUGAUAUAAGUGGGACAAGAUUCCCGUCACAUUUUCCUUGACUGUCAGUUCCCCAGUGACUACAUCAUUCUAUGAGCACAGUUUCAGUCUGUGUCUUCAUUUAGCAUUUUUAAGUCACCCUAUAAUUAAGGUCUAAGGAGUGAUAGACAUUCAUCUCCUAUUUUUCCAAAGUGAUAUCUUUUUGUUGCUGCAAUAUUUACUGGAUGGUCCAUCUUUAUUCAUGGAAGUAGAAACUUUUUGAUCGCUUAAAUAGAAUGGAAGGAGAAAAGGAAAAAUAAUUAACUUUCAAAUUUUACUAGGUUUGGGGGUUUGGCACAUAAUGCAGAUUCCACUAGCCUCCAGGAAAGUUCCAGGUUUAAGUGACAAACAGUGUCUCUAGAUAUUUGUAAAUAAAAUAUUUCUUUUGACUAUCUUGCAUCCUUAGUUUUACUCUUCAUUUGACUUUGAGUAUUACCAUUUGUAAUUUAGGAAUAAAUUUAUUGGCGCACUCUUGAAUCCAUUGCUUGAUUCAUCUUUAUAUUAAGAGUUUGGGAAGAAUUGUUUCUAUUAAAUGAUGAUUUUCCUUGAAAACAAAGUAUUGAAGAUUAAUGGAACAAAUGAAUGACUAAAUUGCUAUUUGGAAAAUAAAGGGUAUUAAAGACAUAUUUGUGGCAUUUUGUGGUUAAUUAAAUGAUGCAUUCAUUUCUAGGAAAGAGUUUCCAACCGAUAGAUCUGUCUUUCCCCAUGCUUGCAGCUAGAUGCUUCUUUUCCUUCUUUGAGGUUUGUCAAGAAUUCCAGGGAGGCAAUGGGGCUCCCCUGGGCCGGGUUGUGUUUUGUGUUCUAUGUUCAUUUGCACUUCCCUAGUCUUACUCCUGUCCUGUUUAACUCAAGGCAUAGGCAAAAAGGUUGUUAAAGGUUGGAAGAAAAAAGUUUCAGCUUUUGGCACAUCUGGUAAGGGCACAAUCAGGAGGUAUCUUUACACAGUCAAUGACUUUCCAGAGCACUGCCAUAGCUAAGGCUCAUGCUUCCCUGAAAUGGUGAGCACAAUUAUUAUAGUCAUCAGAAGAGAACAGAAUAUAAUCUGGUAUUACCACUUCUUUGUGUAUUGAUCUUUGCUGUCUAUAGAAUUAGACCUAUCUGUGCCUUUCAGCUUGGGUAAAUGUAAAGCCAUAUUUCCUACCAGAAAGAGCAAAGACUGCCAGAAAAGACUGCUCAGGAAACCAAGCUGCUCAGAGGAGGCAAAUGGCAUGAGCUAAAUUCACCCAAUGAGAAAACAGGAAUGGGAUCAAGAAAUUUCUCAAGAGGUAAAGAUACAGAGUAAUAAGUGAUCAAAAAUAGAGAGCUCAAAAUGGAAGGAAUGGAGAGAAAAUAGUAAUGAGGAGGAAGAUAAGAAAAACACUUAAGUUUUUAAUAACUGACCAAAGCAAUGUUUGAAAUAAUAUAAUCAUUCCAGGAUUUAGUCCAGGCUUUCAAUUAAGAAGAGAGACCUAUAUACCUCUUUUUUUCUUCUUUCAAAGUGACCUUGAAUUUUAGUUUAGUAGGUUUGGGUGCAGCUGUUAUUUGAUAAUAACACAUUGUGUUUUUCAAUUUACUUAGAUUGUUUGAAAAAACAGAUAACUGAAAACCAUCUGUGUUGCUGUGUAAUUUGUUCUCAGGACAGGGAGUAGGAACAAAACAUUUAAAAUCCUGCCACUGAAGGUUCUCAUUAAUUUAAGGAGUUCUGAGACUCAAUCUCAAGUACCAGGUGAAAAGGGUACCAACUGCUGGGCUUCCUGUGGUAAACACAAAAUUAAUUUUUUACUUUGUCCAUGGUGAUUGGGUGGCAUUUUUUUUAAAGAAUCUUCUUGGCAAUGAGUCUUAAUUUAAUGGGCAUUGAAAUCAUCAAGAAUAACUGCUUUAAAUGCAUAUUCUUGAAGUUUACCCCAAGAGAUUUUAAUUUAAGAUGACUGGCUAAGGGUCAGAAACCACCACAUUUAAACCAGUGGCCCAGGUGAUUCUGAUGUAGUUGGUUGGAGGACCACACUCUUAACACUGUUUUUUAGAUCCUAAAUCUGUAUGUUAGGAGGUAUCAUGUAUGUGGGAGUUAAAUUUGGGACAGGUAUUCUGUAGCUAAAACAUUACUACCAAGAUAAGAGAGGAGCGUGCCGCGCGCGCGCGCGCGCACACACACACACACACACACACACACACAAACAACCAUGAGCAACUCAAAUUACAUAACAGCAAAGCAAAUGGCUCAAAGAAAAGCCAGCUGAACAAAGGGUUUUAAAUAGGUCCUCAGAGAUAUAAUUGAAUCUGAUGAAAUUCAGCUGACAAGACACAAAGGCCAACUCUAAGUUGAUAUGGAAGGACAAUGGAAAACAUUUCAAAGGAGCAUGAUGAAUUUCAGUUAUGGACACCAAACCUUGAGCUCUGGAAAGGAUUAUCAAUUUUACUGACUAUACUGAUCUGCAAUGUAUGAGUCAUACUAGGCAAAUCUAUUUUGCUCUUUCUUUUAUAAUAUAUAAUAACGCACUUAAUUUUGUUGGGGAUAUAUCCUAAUUUUGCACAUGACCUAACUCUAGGCUCUAACUUUUAAAAAAUGCCCCUUCACUUUUCCCUCCUAAUUUAUUAGAGCCAUGAUAUAACAUUUUACUUGUUGAGAGUAGAAGACUGAAAGGAUGUGAUUGUCAGAAAAUGGUUGAUGGGUAGUUUUCCGGUGGUGGUUGAGGCAGCAGUCUGGAGAAUAAGCCCUUUCAUCUGCCACUACAAAUAUAUGAGAUUCAUGGAAAAUCACUUUCCUUAUUGCACCUCUGUUUAUUCCCCUGUAAAACAGGGGUACUGGAGGGUAGAUGAUUUUUGUGACCAUCUAGAAUAAGAAUAUGCUAAGCCUUUUCAUCUGUUAUCUUCCUUAAACAUUAUCACAAUUUUCCAUCUCUAAGAACAGACAAUAGAUUGUCACUAGAGGCAAAUUGAAAAGAAAAGAGAUUUAACAGUGCCUGAAUUCAUGGUGCUCACAGAUGGCAUUUGAAUACAGGUUCUUUUUACCAGCUAGAGUGGGAUUAUGGACUCUCUGCUUUAUGUGAUUGCUUUGUUCUGAGGUAUCUGUUGCCAGUUGAUGGGGAAUAUAGUGUAGUACUGUAAAGCAGAGAGAAAAAAAUAUUCAUCUUUCAAUCAUAGGGCUAUAAGUUUGCACAGAUAUAGACAAUUAUUUUUGUCUAUCUUGAGAUCCCAAAAUGGCUGCUAUUCACAUCUCUUGCCAUUAGGUGGGGCACUUGAAGAGUGGGAAAAUAGCUUCAAGUCAAGUGAUUCACGUUCAACAAUGAAAGUAAACAAUAAAAGAUACCCUUCUUUCAUAGGGUUCAAACUAUCAGUGACCAGAUUCUCAUUUUCCUUUGUAAUUCCUCGGUGGGGGGACUAAAAAUGGGGAGUUGAUAAAAUUAAUGACAUGUGAUGUUGCAAAAUUAGAUAUUAAUAUAAAAUUCCCAUUUAGGAUUCAAAAGCCAAAAUGACUCUGAAGUCAACUCCUAUACUCCACUUUCUCAGAGAGUAUUUAAUGUAUAUAAAGUCAGGAAAACAAAAUAACAGGUUUAUUCUGGUCCAGAGAGUAGAAAGAAGCCAUGACAGUUACAGCAGGCCUCCUCCGAGUGCUAAUUGAUUUCCUUUAGCAUCCAGGGUACUUAACUAUUUCCUUCUCUUCAACUUUCUUUUUUAAAAAGUCCAUGCUAAUUAAUUUGCCUGACAUCUUAAUGGAUAAUUCAUUAAGAAAGUCUUUUGUGCCAAGCACAUCAUGAUGAAUUUUGAUCACUGAUGUUACCCACGCUGUCUUUCAAAUUGUUUUUAUUGACUCACUCAUAGAUUUAAGAUGUUUUCUUAGAACUUUACAAAUGACAUAGGAAAAUUUCAAAUCAGUCUUUUAAAAGACAGUGACUUUAAACUUUAAUUUGCCAAUAUAUACAUUUCAAGCAAAGGGUAAGACAUAUGGAAAGGAAGACAGGGAAGAGUAGGAAGAAACCCAAGAAAUAUUUCUGGUAAUCUAUGUUCUAUCUUGAAAGUAAGAAUCUUUAGAGCCAUGAUAGUGAUGGUAGUAAGGAAAGAGUAGAUAUGGAAAUUUGCUUUUCAAAUCAAAGGAAUUUUUAAAAGAUAAAGAGAUUUGGUAGAUUAGAAAUGAAGGAUUAAUGAGAAAAGCAACUCACAAAAUACUUGAAUGAAUGAAUGAACGAAUGCAUGUAUGGAUGAAUUAUUUGUAUUUCUCCCUACUCUGAUCCAGCUAAAAUGUGUUUUUUCACUUUUCCCAAUAUGUUUAUACUUUUUAUUAGUAUUUUUGUGUGAAAUAGUUUAAAAAAAUCCCUGCAAUUUACAGAGCUCUGCAUUUGAUUAAUUCUAGAUUGUCAGCAAAUUUGUAUGAGUUUUCAGAGGACUACAAAAUAGAGAAAUGACUAAAUUUUAUGUAAAUCCUUAACAUUUAGAAUGAUGCUCAUUUUCAAAAAGAAACUUGAAAAGAAACUAGAUUUAUGCACUGCUAUAAUUUUAAACAAGAGCCAAUAUCAUAAAUUCUCCUGACAUUUCUUGGUUUCUAAGAAACCAAUGCAAAAGGAAGGUGAGAAUCAGGUUUGUAUACUGUAUAUUGUGCUGAUUAAGUUAAUGAUGAAAAAUUGACACAUUUAUUCAGUAUUUAAUAUGUAUUGGGCACCAAGUUAAGCAUGUAAUUAACUCAAGUAAUCCUCACAAGAACCUUAUGAAUUUGUGUUAUUAUUUAGCACCUUCAUUUCUGUAAGAUAAUGUAAAGCAUUUGGUUUUUAUAUAUUUAGUAGAAACCUGAGUUUUGUAGUCAAGACUAACUCAGUAAAACAAGUUAGUUGUUUCAUAGUUGUGUAAAUAGCAAAGUAGACUCACUAAAAUUAUCUGGUUGCUCCACCACAAGCAAACCAUCCAUACUAGUGAAACAAAACAAACAAACAUACAA